UAAGUGAUGGCGACCGGCGCACGGGUGAGUAACACGUAUCCAACCUGCCGAUAACUCGGGGAUAGCCUUUCGAAAGAAAGAUUAAUACCCGAUGGUAUAAUAAAGCCGCAUGGUUUAAUUAUUAAAGAAUUUCGGUUAUCGAUGGGGAUGCGUUCCAUUAGGCAGUUGGUGAGGUAACGGCUCACCAAACCUUCGAUGGAUAGGGGUUCUGAGAGGAAGGUCCCCCACAUCGGAACUGAGACACGGUCCAA
rnacentral:rRNA from 1 species